GGAACAGCCCGCCUGGCGCGCGGAGCUCUGCGCGCCGCGACCCUCUCCGGCAGUCCCGCCCGCGUCUCCUCGCCCUCUCUCUGCCUGGCCUCCAACUUUGCCUCUCGCUGCCCUUUCCGCCGGCGGCCCCUUUCCUGGCGGUCCCCGAGAUGGUCCCUGGAACCCCGAGGACGCCGAGGUUACGGGAAGUUCGGGGACUGGCGGGAGAAGGGGGUGGGUUGUCCGCGGCGAGGGGCGCGGGGCGCAUCUUCUCUUCCUUUUAUGGUUCCCUCCUGUACCCUGGGACCGUUUUCUUUUGCCUGCUCUGGGAGCUGAGUGGGUCAGCUCGUCACAGGCCUGCGGCCCCUGUAUAGGUGACAGAGGAGGCAAAGAUGACACAGAGAAGCUGUCCCUUCAGGGACAAAGCGGGGACACCCACGAGCCUGGCUCUGCCUUACAAAGAAAUGAGAAGGAAUCCUGUUCCUGCUUUUCACCUUAGGUGGACUCUGAGUCUGCGGCCACUCACCACAGUGAUGAGCAGGGCAGGAAACCAUCCAGAUGCGUGGGUCUGAUUCCCCCUCUUCCACUUUCUAGCCCUGUGACCUCAGAUAUGCCACUUCUAAUAGCCUUGCCUCAGUUUUCUCAUCUGUAAAAUGGGACCAGCAGAGUUCCCACUUCCCAAGGCACGAUGAGGAUGAUGUCGUAACACACUCGGAAGCAUUGAUCGCAAUACCAAGCACCAAACAAGUGCUCAGUGAUGAGUAGCUGUCAUUGCUGUUGAAAUGCAAUAGGAACGGAAGGAGAGAACACAGGCUGCUACACUUGUGUGUCCCUUCUUCCUUGAAUUUAACCAGGAGUGAGCAGUGGACAGCUUCUUCCUUGUGAGAAGGAGGUGAAGCAGGACCUGAAGUCCCGUGCUCAACUCCCACAGCCCCUGUGUCCAGGACAAGUCCUUUGCUGACUCAGCAGCAGACGCCACCCGGAGCCCUUCGGGAGCGUUUCCCUGUUCUUCCAGCAUGGAUCUGAAACUCCGUUCCCACUUUCCGCAGUCUCCCGGAUAUAGUUCCGGUUCCAGCCUCAUGUGAUAGCGUGAAGAGAAACUGUGGUUCCAGUAGCUGUGUGCUCUGCUCCCCUUAUCCCAAACGACAAUUUAAAUGCACAAUUACACUUUUCUCUAGGGCCCAAAAUAGGAUAGGAAAGAUGGGUUUGCUAUCCCUGAAUGCCUGUCACCCUUGUUUCAUAAGGAAUUCAGUCCCAGAACACUUGUUCUGCUCCCUGCCUCCUGAUAAGUACUGCGCUGAGCGUGCUUGCUUUGCCAGACGGUUAAAAUAGAGCAGGGGAUAGACGGACAGACGUCUCCACCCUCCCGGAGUUCGCCUUCCAGUGGGAGGAGGCGAGGGGCAGGGGUCUGCACAUGUGCGUGGUAGAGCGUGUUCUACGCCUGUUGACUUGGCCUGGGCCAGCUGUCCUCUCACGCUCAUGAUUGCUGCCUCUGCUCCUGCCAUCACAUCCACAAGCAGUGCCUGUUCAGUGGAACAAAAGGAAAUCAAAAGAGGAAUUACAUUGUCCUGUGUCUCUACGAUGUUUUUUUUUUUUCUUAAUCAUGAAAACUGUUCCCAGAAACCCCACAACAGACUUUCUGUUUCAUCUCAUUGGUCAGAACAGCAUCACAGGAGACUACUGGGAUUGGUGUAGACCAGCUAGGAGGCACCCUUAGAGCCCGUGGAGGAGGGCAGGCAUCCAAGCAGAGCUGGGCCUCAGCGGGCAGGGGAGGACAGGGACUGGCAGGUGUCCUUUGGUCACUCAGAGGACUUCCUUCAGUCCUCCCAGGGCUGGUCAGCAUAAUAAACUGAGGAUGGCAG
ensembl:lncRNA